rnacentral:rRNA from 1 species
GACAGAGGAUGCAAGCGUUAUCCGGAAUGAUUGGGCGUAAAGCGCGUGUAGGCGGUUCCGUAAGUCCGCUCUGAAAGCCCAGGGCUCAACCCUGGGAGGCGGGUGGAUACUACGGAACUGGAGUACGGAAGAGGAGAUUGGAAUUCCUGGUGUAGCGGUGAAAUGCGCAGAUAUCAGGAGGAACACCAACAGCGAAGGCAGAUCUCUGGGACGUUACUGACGCUGAGACGCGAAAGCGUGGGGAGCAAACAGG